rnacentral:rRNA from 1 species
GGACUACCAGGGUAUCUAAUUCAGUUCGCUCCCCACGCUUUCGCGCCUCAGCGUCAGGGACAGCCCAGAAGGCCGCCUUCGCCACCGGUGUUCCUCCGGAUCUCUACGCAUUUCACCACUACACCCGGAAUUCCACCUUCCUCUACUGCCCUCACAGCUUGGCGGUUUUGGAAGACCUGUUCGAGUUAAGCCCGAACCUUUCACCCCCAACCUACCAAGCCGCCUACGCGCUCUUUACGCCCAGUAAAUCCGGACAACGCUCGCCCCCUACGUAUUACCGCGGCUGCUGGCAC